rnacentral:rRNA from 1 species
GAUGAACGCUGGCGGCGUGCCUAAUACAUGCAAGUCGAGCGAACAGACGUGGAGCUUGCUCCUCUGACGUUAGCGACGGACGGGUGAGUAACACGUGGAUAACCUCCCUAUCAGAAUGGGAUAACUUCGAGACACCGGAGUUAAUACCGGAUAAUAUAUUCAACCGCAUGGUUCAAUCGUGAAAGACGGUUUUGCUGUUACUUCUAGAUGGAUCCGCGACGCAUUAGAUAGUUGGUAAGGUAACGGCUUACCAAGUCAACGAUGCGUAGCCAACCUGAGAGGAUGAUCAGCCACACUGGAGCUGGGACGCGGUCCAGACUCGUACGGGAGGCAGGGGUAGGGAAUCUACGGGAGUGAGCGGAAGCCUAUCGGAGCAACGCCGCGUGAGUGAUGAAGGGCUUCGGAGCGUAAAGCUCGAUGAUUAGGGGAGAACGAAUGUGUAUGUAACUAGACGCGUCUAUGCGGUACCUUGGCAGAUAGGCACCGCUAACUACGGG